UAAACAUGGAGUGAACAAGACCUUCCAGUUUCCCUCAACCUCCACGGAACUAUGCACGCUGUGUUACUCCCAGCCCGUCCGAUCAUUCGUUGAGUGUUCAUCAGAAGUUCUGCAGAAGACCACCAACUUGGAUAAUAUUAUGGCCUGUCACCAAGGCGACAUUUUGACAUCGGGCUCCCACCACACUGACAGCACAGCAGCAGUCUGCAACUCUCAGCACACCGACAGCAUCGCAGCCACCGACCUAGAGGUUAGGGAUGACUUCAGCCAAUACGCCCUCGACUAUAUGGACGACCACUCCGAAUGUCACGGCAGCCAUUCUAGAAGCUUCUUCAUGUAUGACGUUCAGGGUUCUGAAC